UACGUAGGGGGCUAGCGUUGUCCGGAAUCAUUGGGCGUAAAGCGCGCGUAGGCGGCCCUGUAAGUCCGCUGUGAAAGUCAAAGGCUCAACCUUUGAAAGCCGGUGGAUACUGCAGGGCUAGAGUCCGGAAGAGGCGAGUGGAAUUCCUGGUGUAGCGGUGGAAUGCGCAGAUAUCAGGAGGAACACCAAUAGCGAAGGCAGCUCGCUGGGACGGUACUGACGCUAAGGCGCGAAAGCGUGGGGAGCGAACAGG
rnacentral:rRNA from 1 species